rnacentral:lncRNA from 10 species
AUAUAUAUAUGCACAAAUUGUCAACUAUUUAUAAAAAUUUUUCAACCUCUUUGCCCAUGGUUAAAACAAAAUAGUUGGCAAAAAUUGGAGGUUCACUGCAGAAAGAAGCAUAAGGAAGGUAGAAGGCGAAACUCUUCACUUCUAGGCAAGCCAGUUAAAAUGCAAUCACUAGGCCCGGGUGCGGUGGCUCAUGCCUGUAAUCCCAGCACUUUGGGAAGCAGAGGCGGGUGGAUGACCUGAGAUUGGGCGUUCAAGACCAGCUUGACCAAUCUCUACUAAAAAUUACGUGGCGCAUGCCUGUAAUCCCAGCUACUCAGGAGGCUGAGGCAGGAAAAUCGCUUGAACCCAGGAGGCAGAGGUUGCAGUGAGCCGAGAUUGGCCACUCCAGCCUGGGCAACAAGAGCACAACUCCAUCUCAAAAAAUAAAUAAAAUGCAAUCAUUGUGGAUUAUUAUUUAGGUGUACGACAUAGAAUCUUGGAAUGAUUCCAGAUGAACUAUCUGCCUCAAAUCUUAAGCUCCUUUAUAGCACAAUACUUUACACAUUACAGGUAUUCAUAUUAUUUGGAUUGAGUCGAAACUCUAAAGUUACUUGCUUUAAUUUUUCUCACCUGAAAGCCCUUGUCUGCGCCUACACAGCUAUUAGCAGUGACAGGGAGGAAAAUCCUGGUAUGAAUGGGUAUCUUGGCUGGGCACAGUGGCUCAUGCCUGUAAUCCAAGCACUUUGGGAGGCCAAGAGGGGAGGAUUGCUUGAGACCAGCCUGGCCAUCAUGGCAAGACCUCCUGUCUACAAAAAGUUUUAAAAAUUAGCCAGGCAUGGUGGAACACAUCUGUAGUCCCAGCUACUGGGGAGGCUGAUGUGGGAGGAUCACUUGAGCCGAGGAGUUCGAGGCUGCAGUGAGCUGUCAUGUUGCCACUGCACUGCAGCGUGGGUGACCAAUCAAGACCCCAUAUCAAAAACAAGUAGGGGGAAGCCAGACGUGGUGGUGGCUCAUGCCUGUAAUCCCAGCAUUCUGGGAGACCAAGGUGGGCAGAUUGCUUGAGCUCAGGAGUUUGAGACCAGCUUGGGCAACAUGGUGAAAACCCGUCUCUACAAAAAAUACAAAAAUUAGCCAGGUAUGGUCCCUGUGCAUGCCUGUGGUCCCAGCUAUUUGGAGGUCUGAGGCGGAAGGAUCGCUUGAGUCCGGGAGGUGGAGGCUGCGGUGCAUCAAGAUCACAUGACUGCACUCCAGCCUGGCUAACAGAGCAAGACCUUGUCUCAAAGAAAAGGAGUGGGUGGCAAGGUAUCUUAAUAUGGAAAGCAGUUUUACCAUAUGUUUAUAUCUUCAGCACUAUUAAUGGAAGUUUUCUAGUCAAAAGCCUUCAUAUGAACUAUCAGCAGAUGAGUUUAUAGGACUAUCUUACCUGUAUCCCUGUAUCAUAACCCCCACCCCUGCAAAAAAAGGAAGGAAGAAAAAAAAAUUACCUCCUAUAAAGCCAGGCUCAAGUUUCCCAUCACCAUCUAAUUUGUAUAUCACUAACAUUAAUAUCUUGACACAAUUAAGGACUGAAAGUUUCCAUAAUGUUCCUUGUUUUCAACAUACACUGAAAUAUUCUCAGAAAAAAAGAAAUACAUAGUGGAUUCAGAACAGGGAGCCUUCUGCAUAACUCAGAGUAACUCAAGCAAAGAGAAAGUAAUUUCAUACUGAAAUCAAGAAGAUUAUUGAUCUGUAAACCCUUACCUAUAUGCAAAGAAAAAACGUUUUGAGAACAAAGAUGGGAUGGAAUUUUCUUUCUACUGGAAAAUCACCCAAUCCACCCAAUUGUGACUUUGGCAUUUUCCUAGGGUAUAGAUUAAAUUAUAACUUAGGGGAAAAGUACCACCUACAUGAUUUGCUGUACACCUGUUUGUGUAUCCCUGGACUUGGAAUUUCUUCAAAUUAUUAAGCAUAGCUUAUGAUAUCUUAGGCUGGAAAUGCAUGGCAAUGGUUUUUUAGCCCUUCCUAUGAGAAAGUCAAACGUUGCUUUUACUAUUCAUUAAAUCUUACUAAUGUUAAAUAAACCUCAAAUGUUAGUAGCCCUUAUUAAUGACAUUUUCAUGGGGCAUUUGACACUGGGAACAAUUAUAAUUUAAAGGAAAAAGACAUUUUAAAAAACAUUUUUUCCCUUGUGUAUGUCACACAAAGGGUAGAGACUUUGAAAAGGGCAACUUCACUUUCAGCAAAUGUGCUAGCCAAAACAUACCUUUUAAGACAUAAAAUAUGAAUGCAGUACUUAGUGUAGUUGAUAAGGUGGUAGACAGUUUGGUUGAUUUGUCUUUUCUAUUUUUCCCUUCUCUAUUUGGUUAUUAAGUAAUAUGUAAAUAGGUAGACCAUUUGCAGUGUUCUCUUAUGAUAGUAAGAUAGUGCCAUUAGAGUGCAAUGAAAUGUUGCACCACCACACCACCCUACCUUUGCAAUUUAUAUAAGUGCAUGUCACUAGAAUGACUGUUGGCAUUUAUCAGCUAAGUUCUGAAUGGCUUGUGCAGUUGAGGUCUCUGAGAGGUCACUCCAUCCCCUUAAAGUGGUAGGUUUCCAUUUCCAUCAUCAGGAUAGAGGUAGGAGUUCACACAAGAAAUGAGACACCAGGAUGUUGACUUCAAGCAGACAGGAAAGGAGAUUACUUUUCCUAGCCCUCAUUCUCUGGGGUUUGAAUGCUAAAUUGCUUACCAGUACUCUAAGUAAAAAGAGAAAGAUAACUUCUGCCAUGUGGUAGCAUGCUUGGAACAUUCCCUCUUGGAAUCCAAUCUAUUUGG